rnacentral:misc_RNA from 1 species
AAGUCGUAACAAGGUUUCCGUAGGUGAACCUGCGGAAGGAUCAUUACUGAGGUUACCGGGGGUGAGUUGCGAGGUUGUUUUGUUGCUGGCGCUCUCGGGCGCAUGUGCACGGUCUCUCUCCUUCUUGCCUUCGUUCCUUCUAUCAACCCCUGUGCACUCUAUUAGGAUUAGAGAGAAGCGCGUCGUUAAGAGAUUAGCGUAGUAGUUGUGGGUCCCGCCCUCGGCAAACCGCUGAUCUUGACGUUGUGGUACCUCGAACUCCUUGUUUAUUACAAAACACUAUACAAGUCUAGUCAGAAUGUUCAGUCCCUCGUUGGACGCUAAAUAUAAUACAACUUUCAACAACGGAUCUCUUGGCUCUC